AUGAAAGGCUAUGAUAAGGGGUACCGCGUAGCUUCAGCUAUGAAAAACCGUUCUCGCCGGAGAACCCACCACCUCGCCACGCCGCGCCAGCCGCUGUCGUCGCCCUACAAUGGCAACCGCCACCACGAUGGUCAGAUCCGGGCACUAGUGCCUGAAUCCCACACGCUUUGUCCCUUGGUCAGCUGCGCUCGUCCUGCCGUCGCGUUGUCACGUAGGCCUUCAUCAGAUCCGCAAACCGGUCAACAACCAUCGGCCAAUUCCCUCCCUCAGGGCCGACGCGAGCCGCUCCGUGACGGCCGCCGAACGCCUGACUUCGUCACACUACCCAUCCUGCCAGAUCCGAAGCUGAUCCGCAGGACACGCACCACCGUGCACACCUGCGACCAGCCGGAGAUGAUCCUGGCCUCCGCCUUCCCCAGAGCGAUGCGAACUUUGCUAGAGGGCGCCUCAGGCGUCGGCAAGGGGAGGAAGACAAACUCUUCUUGUACCACCUCAUCAAAUGAGCUGAUCCAGUUUGAUCCACCCGAGCUAAGCUUCCCUUGCCCCCCGAACAAGGCUUCACUCUGCUCGGUUAAUAUAGUCAACAUUACAGAUUACUACAUUGGUUUCAAUAUUUGCCGUUUGAAGGAGUUGUCUGGGUGCUACGAGACAGAGACACGUCGAGAGAUUCUGGCACCACGGUCCACUCAAAGAAUGCUUGUAAAAUGGGUACCCAAUGAAGAGGACAUUAAGUGCAAAAAAAGCAUACUUUUGUGGAACAUGAUUGUGGCUCAAGGUGUCGAAUCCUGCAGCUUGAAGGGUCACUGCAGUGCUAAAGACAACAAGGAGUUGCCCUUCAUUUUUAACAAUAAUAACAUAAGUAGCCCUGCAGGUACCUCAACCUCAGGAGACGAGGUGAUCCGAUUGGACCAUCCUGCACGGCUCGUCUUUCCGCGAAACCACACAGGCUUGUCCACAAUUAACAUUGUCAACCUCACCGAUUACUAUGUUGGUUUUCAUCUGUUUAUUAUGCCUGGAAGAGAUGAGGCCGUGACCUACCAUCUGGUUACUGAAGUAGGAAUUUUAGCACCACGGUCUGAUCAAAGACUCGUCGUAGCAAGGCUAAUAAAUGAAAAGGAAACACAAGAUACACAGUACAACGACGACAAGCUCUUUAUAUGGAAUGCCAUUGUCAGUGAAGGCGUCAAAGUCAGCGACCUCGAUUUCCAAGGAACGACGACAAGCUCUUUAUAUGGAAUGCCAUUGUCUCUGGAGAUAGAGCUGAGCAUGGAGUUGCCCUUAAUUCUUACUAAGACAAGCUCAACCGAGUUGGUUCAGUUUGAUCCUCCCGAGCUCAGCUUUCCCCUGUUGCCAAACCAGAUAGUGUUGUCGUCAACUAACAUAGUCAAUAUUACAGAUCAGUACAUCGGUUUCGGUGUAUGCACCAAGGAAAGCAAUUCAGCAUGGUACAACGCAAAUCCGUCGCAAGGAAUUUUGCCACCACUGUCCACACAAGUAAUCCUGGUAAAGAGGAUAGCAAAGGGAAAGGAACCAGAAGACACUGAGUGCAAAGGCAAGUUUUUGGUGUGGAGCGGCAUUGUAACUGAAGAUCCGAAAGCCAGAGAUAUUGAUAACAUGUCCGAGACAAAGUGUACCAAGUUGCCCAUUGUUCUUACACAGACAAGUUCAUCUAUCUCAGAGGAGUUGAUCCAGUUUGAUCCACCAGAACUUCACUUUCCCACUUUGCCAAAAAAGAAGGUGUUGUCCUCAAUUAAGAUAGUGAACCUUACAGAUUACAAUGUUGGUUUCAAGACAUACAGCAGGCCAACAAAUAGGGCAUGGUACCACACAGAGCCACCGGGAGGAAUCCUGCCACCACGAUCCACACAAAAACUUAUGGUAACAAGAGAAGAAAAGAAAGAUGCAUUAAAAUAUAAGCAGUUCAAUGAAAAGUACUUUGUGUGGACUGGCAUUUUAUCUGAAGGUGUCAAAGACAGCGAACCUAGUGAUUACACGGAUGAACAAGAGAGCAAAGAGGUGCCCAUUGUUCUCGACAAGAUAAGCUCAUUAACCUCAGAUGAGCUGAUCCAGUUGGAUCCCGCGGAGCUCUGCAUACCCCACUUGCCAAACAAGCAAAUUAAGUUCAUAGUAAAUGUAGGCAACACUACAUAUUUCUACGUUGCUUUCAAUGUAUAUGUCAUCAGCAGGAAUGCAACGCGGGACAAGGAAUCAAUAUCGAAAGGAAUCCUGGAACCACGAUCCACUAAUAGACAAAUGCUACAUUGGACAAUUGAUGAGACGGAUGAUAUCUUUGUGUGGAGCCGUGUUGUGACUGAAGGUGUCGAAAGCAUAGACAUCACCGGUUACAUGGUUGAGGAAGAGAGUAAGAAACUGCCCUUUAUUAUUGUUAAUAAGGCAAGCCCGACAUGUAGCUCAAAGGAGCUGAUCCAGUUUGACCCGCUUGAGCUCAGCCUCCCCUUGAUGCCAAACAAGCCCUUGGUUUUUUCAGUUAAUGUAGUCAACAGUACAGACUACUAUGUUGGUUUUCGUACACAUAACCUAGAAACAAAUGUGGCCCUGUACUACCCAUAUCGUUGCGGUGCAGUUAUGCCACCAGGGUCCACUCAAAGGCUCGUUGUAAAAAGGGUACCAAAGAAAAAGGAAGACAUGCAAUGCCAAGACGAUAAGUUCCUUGUAUGGAGUUGCUUAGUGAGUGAAGGUACCAAAGCCAUCGACCUUUAUGACUGGCCCAAAUACGAAGGGGGUAAGGAGUUGCCAAUUGUUUAUACUAACAUGACAAGCAGCUUAUGCAACUCAGAUGAGUUGAUUCAGUUUGAUCCUCCACAUCUCCAGUUCACAUUCCUUUCCAACAUGAGGGCGUCCAUGUUGCGCUUGCUUAAAAUAGUCAAUGUUACAGAUCACACUGUCGGUUUCAAUACAUUGUCUCGUAAAGAAAAUUCCGCGUCGUACAGAAUAGAACCGCAUGCAGGGAUCCUGUCACCACAGUCCACCAAAGUAAUCAAGGUAAGAAGGACCCUAAAGGAAUAUGAAACGGAAGACAUGCAAUGCACAGACAAGCUUUUUGUGUGGAAUGGUUGUGACUCAAGGUGUCAACGUUAG
rnacentral:rRNA from 1 species